rnacentral:rRNA from 1 species
GGGACGAGAAGACCCUAUAGAGUUUUAUAAUUUAUAAUUUAUAUUGAUUUAUAUUAAUAAAAAAAAAAUUGAAUAAAUUAAAAAUUAUUUUAUUGGGGUGAUGGAAAAAUAUAAAUAACUUUUUUUAUAAAAAUUCAUAAAUAAGUGAUUAAUUGAUCCAUUAAUAAUGAUU